GAUGAACGCUAGCUACAGGCUUAACACAUGCAAGUCGAGGGGCAGCAUGAACAAAGCUUGCUUUGUUUGAUGGCGACCGGCGCACGGGUGCGUAACACGUAUCCAAUCUGCCCGCGGCUCGGGGAUAGCCCAUCGAAAGAUGGAUUAAUACCCGAUGGUGUGGUUUCUCCGCAUGGGGUUUCCACUAAAGGUUUUCCGGCCGCGGAUGAGGAUGCGUAUGAUUAGGUAGUAGGCGGGGUAACGGCCCACCUAGCCUUCGAUCAUUAGGGGUUCUGAGAGGAAGGUCCCCCACACUGGAACUGAGACACGGUCCAGACUCCUACGGGAGGCAGCAGUGAGGAAUAUUGGUCAAUGGGCGAGAGCCUGAACCAGCCAAGUAGCGUGAAGGAAGACUGCCCUAUGGGUUGUAAACUUCUUUUGUCGGGAAUAAAGUGCAGUACGCGUACUGUUUUGAUGUACCGUUCGAAUAAGCAUCGGCUAAUUCCGUGCCAGCAGCCG
rnacentral:rRNA from 1 species